rnacentral:rRNA from 1 species
UUAAAUUGAAGAGUUUGAUCAUGGCUCAGAUUGAACGCUGGCGGCAGGCCUAACACAUGCAAGUCGAACGGUAACAGGAAGCAGCUUGCUGCUUCGCUGACGAGUGGCGGACGGGUGAGUAAUGUCUGGGAAACUGCCUGAUGGAGGGGGAUAACUACUGGAAACGGUGGCUAAUACCGCAUAACGUCGCAAGACCAAAGAGGGGGACCUUCGGGCCUCUUGCCAUCAGAUGUGCCCAGAUGGGAUUAGCUUGUUGGUGAGGUAACGGCUCACCAAGGCGACGAUCCCUAGCUGGUCUGAGAGGAUGACCAGCCACACUGGAACUGAGACACGGCCCAGACUCCUACGGGAGGCAGCAGUGGGGAAUAUUGCACAAUGGGCGCAAGCCUGAUGCAGCCAUGCCGCGUGUAUG